GAUGAAGAACGUAGCGAAAUGCGAUAAGUAGUGUGAAUUGCAGAAUUCAGUGAAUCAUCGAAUCUUUGAAUGCACAUUGCGCCCCUUGGUAUUCCAUGGGGCAUGCCUGUUCGAGCGUCAUUUGUACCUUCAAGCUCUGCUUGGUGUUGGGUGUUUGUCUCGCCUCUGCGUGUAGACUCGCCUCAAAACAAUUGGCAGCCGGCGUAUUGAUUUCGGAGCGCAGUACAUCUCGCGCUUUGCACUCAUAACGACGACGUCCAAAAGUACAUUUUUACACUCUUGACCUCGGAUCAGGUAGGGAUACCCGCUGAACUUAAGCAUAUCAAUAAGCGGAGGA
rnacentral:misc_RNA from 1 species